UCCUACUGCUCAUGGAGCCUGACUCAUUCCUCCUCUUAUGCUUUUGCCUCCGCUUUUCCAGGCCUUGACCUCACCCAGGCCUGUACCCCAGCAACUGGCGCUCCAUCAAAGGAUCUGGAGAUAGAUUGCCAUCUCCCGCAAAAAGAAGCUUCUGUGAUGAGGAUUGAGAGAUGUGCUGUGCAUAAACACAAGGACCACAGUGGGUGUGGUGACACGUGCCUUUGAUCUGGAUCUUUGUGACUCAAGGCCAAACCUGCUUACGUAGUGAGUUCCAGGCCAGCCAGGACUACAUGUGCCCGGACCAAGGUGAGCAGAGCGGACACUCAUUACAAAUUCCGAAAGAAUGAACGGACAGAUGAACGGUCACCAGUCACAGAAGACAGAAUCCUUAGAGCCAGACAUACGUGGCUCUGAGCAAGCCUA